GUCCCCAUAGUUCAAUGGACAGAACGAGAGUUUCCUAAACUUUAAAUGAAGGUUCGAUUCCUUCUGGGGAUA
rnacentral:tRNA from 1 species